rnacentral:rRNA from 1 species
GAUGAACGCUGGCGGCGUGCCUAAUACAUGCAAGUCGAGCGAACGGACGAGAAGCUUGCUUCUCUGAUGUUAGCGGCGGACGGGUGAGUAACACGUGGAUAACCUACCUAUAAGACUGGGAUAACUUCGGGAAACCGUAGCUAAUACCGGAUAAUAUUUUGAACCGCAUGGUUCAAAAGCGAAAGACGGUCUUGCUGUCACUUAUAGAUGGAUCCGCGCUGCAUUAGCUAGUUGGUAAGGUAACGGCUUACCAAGGCAACGAUGCAUAGCCGACCUGAGAGGGUGAGCGGCCACAAUGCAACUGAGACACGGUCCAGACGCCUACUGGAGGCAGCAGUAGGGAAUCUUCAGCAAUGGGCGAAUGCCUGACGAAGCAACGCCGCGUGAGUGAUGAAGGUCUUCGGAUCGUAAAACGCUGUUAUUAGGGAAGAACAUAUGUGUAAGGAACUGUGCACAUCUUGACGGUACCUAAUCAGAAAGCCACGGCUAACUACGUG